CGAAAAUAUUCGUAAUUAAUUCUGUUUCUUGAGUCUCUGUUUUGUUGAAGUAUAAUAAUGAGUAAAAGUAAAGUUAUUAGAAAUCCUCUGAAGGCUUUUAAGAAAAGGAGAAAUGUUGGAAAGCCAAAGACUUACCAGUGGCCUUUCUCAACGAAUACAAUUUCACAGGCGUUGACAAGAUAGCCAGCACCACAAAUAGAUAUUUAUAUCCUCCUCGUGAUGUUGGAAGGGAGCCAUAUAAAUCAAUGCAGACCUUUUCUAAUGCUCUGGGGCUCCUUGGAGGAUGGCCAUCAUAAUAUGCACCUCCAACAGCAGCUGGAUGCCACAGGAAGCGCACCUCACAGGCGCAUACCAGGUUCAGAAGGCCAGGAGAAUGGCUCGGCCACGAGAGAAACUCGCCGCGGUCGCGGAUAGCAUGGGGAACUUCAACAGAGCCCUGAUAGUGCUAGGAUCGCACCUAUCGGGCGCGGACCCAAUACGGAAUGCCUUGGGAUGUCCGCUACCUCAGAAGAGAGCUGCAACGGGCGUGGACCGAAGAUGGAGCGCCUAGAGACUGAUACUGCCGCCAGAAAUGGCCACAGUGGGCGCGGACGGCAUAGGGAGCAACACACACCGCCCCAAGCAUAAAUAUGGGACAAGGCCUUGGACAACGAGUAACAUCCCGCUUCACCAUGUCCCACACACUUUCAACAGGCGAUAAAUCUUGCGAUUUUGCUGUCCAGAACAGCUGUUGUACGCCAAGAAGAGUACGUCGAGUCGCAGCUCCUGUAUGUGAAAGUGCAUUUUUUGUGUUGAAAAAGAACAUCACCUUCCUGUCAAAGAAAUGGCAAUAGUGUGGAAGUAAGCACCUGCGUACCUUUGAGGGUACUGGUUACUUGACCAUGGUUAAGGACACCAAAUGUGACAGUAUGUUGUAUAUGAUGGCCUCCACACUAUGAAUCCUGAGUUGGGACGUUUGUGCUGUAGGCGAGUACACUCCAGAACAGACUGCUCACCAUGUCUAAAGCGUACACGUGUACGUCCAUCACUCGCAUACAGAGAGAACCUGUUUUUAUCACUGAAAACAACGGGACUCAUAUCACUCUCCAGUCGACUCCAGAGUAAGCAUGCUUGGCGGUGUUGUGGAGUCGGUGAUAUCCCGACUUGAGGCGCACGUUAUCUUAGACCUGCUGCAAGCAGAUAGUUCCCUCCACUCACUGGUGAUGCAGCAGAUGCAGCACGUACCCGAUUACUUCCUUGGAUGAUGUUCGGUCGGUCACCGCCACUCCCGCAACGCAUAGAUCAUGAAGUGCGCCUCUACUACCCGGAUGUCCAGAACCUGGUCUACGGGUAUGGGAAUGUUCCACAGACCAAAGAUUAAAGCAGCAACCCAUCACCAAUGCAGGGGACUCAGUAAUCCGUUGCUACGUCCAUCAGGCUUCAUGAAGUCCCGUAAUGAGACUCCAGUCAGAUAGGUGAUGUUCAACAGGAGUAGCGCUGGUGGACGGGGCGUGGUUGUGCCCUAGAACGAAUACUCUAAAACAUUGCUCACCUCUAAACUCAGCACACAUGUUGCCUGGAGAGACGAAACAAGGGGGCAUACAGACAGUACUCCUGAGUAUCAUCUGAUCAGUGAUCUCUGAUGACAGUGUGUAACGUUCCCUGGCAGCACACACACUAUUAAUCAAAGGAAAUGACAUUUAAUUGUACUAUGUACUCUAUGAAGCAAUUCGUAUGUACUGUAAUU